rnacentral:rRNA from 1 species
AGAGCGAACGCUGGCGGCAGGCUUAACACAUGCAAGUCGAACGGGCGUAGCAAUACGUCAGUGGCAGACGGGUGAGUAACGCGUGGGAACGUACCUUUUGGUUCGGAACAACACAGGGAAACUUGUGCUAAUACCGGAUAAGCCCUUACGGGGAAAGAUUUAUCGCCGAAAGAUCGGCCCGCGUCUGAUUAGCUUGUUGGUGAGGUAACGGCUCACCAAGGCGACGAUCAGUAGCUGGUCUGAGAGGAUGAUCAGCCACAUUGGGACUGAGACACGGCCCAAACUCCUACGGGAGGCAGCAGUGGGGAAUAUUGGACAAUGGGCGAAAGCCUGAUCCAGCCAUGCCGCGUGAGUGAUGAAGGCCCUAGGGUUGUAAAGCUCUUUGUGCGGGAAGAUAAUGACGGUACCGCAAGAAUAAGCCCGGCUAACUUCGUGCCAGCAGCCGC